CCGGGCCUUUCGGUCAGAGCUCAGGUCCACUGGCCAGCUGGAGAGGAAGUCCUCGGGCAGAGCGAGAUGUGCCCGAAGGAGAAGUGUGACAUCAAGGGUCUCCCAGCACUGGCCCCAGCAGUUCCAGGCGAGGCGGGCAGCCCCAGUGUUUGUGUUUCUAACUAGCUGGCAGGUUCGUGCUGAGUAGGACUCGGUCCAGAUGGAAGAUGUGCCUGCGGUUUGUGAACACCACUGCUCCUAACCCACUGCAUCAUCUCUACCGAUUGAUUCUGAGACUUUGCCCACCAGAAUGUCAGCAAAAGAAAUGUCUGCGAAGACACUGCACUCCUCCCAAGGUUAACGUGAGAAAACUGCCAGGGUCACUGAGCCGAAGUCCUGGAGUUCCACAGCCCAGACUCAGCGCUGUGCUGCUUCUUCCUUCGAAGUUCCAGGAAGGCCGGCCCUAACUGGGGUCCUGGAAAGAAACGAAAGAUGAGAAGAUUCAUUUAUGAGGAAGAGAUGUGUUUCUCUGGAAGGCAUGAUUAUUACCAUCACUUUGUGAAGAUAUAUGACUCUGAUGAUGAAAUUCGUGUCAGUAAAUGAUUGUACAACUAGGCCAUCUGCAUCUAACGUAAGCUCGCCAGGCCCACGGUGAGUAGAGGUGGGCACAGUGAGGCUUCCUAGGACAGGGGCUGCUGCUAAAGCUAACACAGGAGACAGCCGCAGACUUUCAACCAUUCUCCAGUACUGGAAAUGAGAUAAUGCAAACCGAGGCCUCCCGAGAGUUGAAAAAAGACACAAUGUAGGCAGAGAGAACUCGAUGUCCUCCUGCCCAAACCUGUCCUGGCAGUGGCCACCUACCUGCGUGGUGUAUAACUCCAACUUGUGAAAU